rnacentral:lncRNA from 1 species
AUGAAGAAGAGUGACUCGGAGGAGAGACUGGAAGACAGAUACUUGAGGAGAGACUGGAAGACAGACACUCAGACUUGGAGUGAAGACACUCGGCUGUGGAACUGGAUCCCUGGAGGAGCUCGUGCAGGAGACCUCAGACUGUUUUCCUUUUGGAUGGUCACCGUGAAAUUCUCAGGGAUCAUGGAACCAUCAAAGGUGGAUCUGAGAACUUGGAUAAGAAAAAAAUUACAUCUUUAUUUUCACUAACCUCUAGCUGAAAAUUAGUAUUUCUUUUAAUUAUUACUGUUAUUUUUUUUAAAAACCCAUUUUCUGUUUUAGGAUCAAGUUAUUUAAUUCCAAUUACCUAACCCUUACCAUUCUUUUGCCUUGAAACCAAUAAUUAGUUUUAAUAUUAAAACACAGCUAAAAAUCUGAGGUCAAAUCUACACCCAGAACCUCCUGUCUCCAGGUCUGGCCCUCUAUCUUUUGAGUCACCUAGUUGCCCCAUUUCCUUUCAUUAUUAACGAAGGCAACAAAAUACAGCAAUAUGAGCAAUAUUUGUGAUCAUCACCAAUAGAAAUCAUAGAUAUUUUUCUAUCAUAUUACAGUUGUUGCACAUAUGUCAAAAUACUUAUGUUCAUCACUUUAUAUUUACUGUACUUAUUAGACUUAUGACUAGACCACACACACUCAAUAUUCUUGUUGACAGAUGUAUAUUUGUCCUAAGUGACCAUCUAUCAGGCAAUUCUGAGUGUCAUAGUCAUUCAGCUACCAAACAUGGAAGUUUCAUGUUUGUAAAUUGGUGACCAGGACAUCUACUUCAUUUCCUAAUAUUCCUUAUCUAAAAUUAUUCAUUGGUAGACACAUGGAAGGAAGCAAAUAGUCUUCAUUGUUGGUACAAAUUUUGAAAAAUUGAAAAAACUCAAAUGAGAAUUCUAAUUCUUCAUAAAAUAGCCCAUGUGGCUUUUGUGCCAUAAAUAGGUGUGUGGACUAUGAGUUCAGACCAGGCAGGUUCAAACAUGCCUGAUGGUUGAAGUGUGCUAUUUAAAGUAAUUUAUUAUUAUUGGUAACAGAUUGCACAGUGUCAUAGUAUCAUAUUCAGGAUAUAAGUAGAGAGGUUCUUUCUUUUGUUUAUUUUUCUUUUCAGACUUCCUUUUGGUACACUGUCUCUUAUGAAAUAAAGGCACACACUCAAGUUGUUAUACA